CAGUCGCCACGGUAAUACGAAGGGGGCUAGCGUUGCUCGGAAUGACUGGGCGUAAAGGGCGCGUAGGCUGUUUGUACAGUCGGGUGUGAAAUUCCUGGGCUUAACCUGGGGGCUGCAUCCGAUACGUGCAGGCUUGAGUGCGGAAGAGGGUCGUGGAAUUCCCAGUGUAGAGGUGAAAUUCGUAGAUAUUGGGAAGAACACCGGGCGAAGGCGGCGACCUGGUCCGUGACUGACGCUGAUGCGCGAGAGCGUGGGGAGCAAACAGGAUUAGAUACCCCUGUAGUCCCUGUCUCUUAUACAC
rnacentral:rRNA from 1 species